UACGUAGGUGGCAAGCGUUGCUCGGAAUUAUUGGGCGUAAAGGGUAUGUAGGUGGUCUCAUUUGUCUGGGGUGAAAGCCUUGAGCUUAACUCAAGAAGUGCCCCAGAAACGGUGAGACUGGAGUCCUGGAGAGGGUCGUGGAAUUCCCGGUGUAGCGGUGAAAUGCGUAGAGAUCGGGAGGAACACCAGAGGCGAAAGCGGCGACCUGGACAGGUACUGACACUCAACUACGAAAGCGUGGGGAGCAAACAGG
rnacentral:rRNA from 1 species